rnacentral:rRNA from 1 species
AACGAAUGCUGGCGGCAGGCCUAACACAUGCAAGUCGAACGAGAAGCUCACUUCGGUGAGUGGACAGUGGCAGACGGGUGAGUAACGCGUGGGAAUCUACCCAAAGGUACGGGACAACCAUUGGAAACGAUGGCUAAUACCGUAUGUGCCCCUCGGGGGAAAGAUUUAUCGCCUUUGGAUGAGCCCGCGUUGGAUUAGCUAGUUGGUGGGGUAAAAGCCUACCAAGGCGACGAUCUAUAGCUGGUCUGAGAGGACGAUCAGCCACACUGGGACUGAGACACGGCCCAGACUCCUACGGGAGGCAGCAGUGGGGAAUCUUGCACAAUGGGCGAAAGCCUGAUGCAGCCAUGCCGCGUGAGUGAAGAAGGCCCUAGGGUUGUAAAGCUCUUUCGCUAGGGAAGAUAAUGACGGUACCUAGUAAAGAAGCCCCGGCUAACUCCGUG